rnacentral:rRNA from 1 species
AGUGAACGCUGGCGGUAGGCCUAACACAUGCAAGUCGAACGGCAGCACAGUAAGAGCUUGCUCUUACGGGUGGCGAGUGGCGGACGGGUGAGGAAUACAUCGGAAUCUACUUUUUCGUGGGGGAUAACGUAGGGAAACUUACGCUAAUACCGCAUACGACCUACGGGUGAAAGCAGGGGAUCUUCGGACCUUGCGCGAUUGAAUGAGCCGAUGUCGGAUUAGCUAGUUGGCGGGGUAAAGGCCCACCAAGGCGACGAGCCGUAGCUGGUCUGAGAGGAUGAUCAGCCACACUGGAACUGAGACACGGUCCAGACUCCUACGGGAGGCAGCAGUGGGGAAUAUUGGACAAUGGGCGCAAGCCUGAUCCAGCCAUACCGCGUGGGUGAAGAAGGCCUUCGGGUUGUAAAGCCAUUUUGUUGGGAAAGAAAAGCAGCAGGUUAAUACCCCGCUGUUCUGACGGUACCCAAAGAAUAAGCACCGGCUAACUUCGUG